UGAACACCUGGAGACACUCUCGGGCAGAUCAUGGGACGACGGCAUCGCUUAUUUGACUCAUUCCUAUACUUUUAACCCAACAAACCAUCACACAUGGAGAUGUUAAAGCCGUCAACUUUUCUUUGUAAAUGUUUCUACCCAGGAAGACAUUAUUUCACCCACCAUGAAGUCUUCUGGAAACACAUUCCUCCGAAGCAGCAAAAGCGAUGUGUUCUAAAAGCUAUGAAGAUGGAAAUCAUGAUUAACGUGUCACCUGCAGGAUAUUCAGAUACAUGAGCUCUGUGAUGAUUUUAAGGUCCAUGGCUCCUCCAGAAGCACACCUCGACUCUCCCUGAGCACCCUCUCCCUUGCUGAGCGUCUGCGGAUACGGGGACAAGGGAAUGCAGAUGGCGACUCUUGGGGAUGACAGGAUGAGUGUCACCUGGAAACGUCAGUGUCAGAAGUGAGCAGAGGUCACUAUGCCAAUUCACCUGUGCUACAAGCACAGUGACCUAGAAGAUCAUUAUAGGGUCACCUGGGAUGGCACACCUGUUUCCCAACACUUAGCUCACCUGAGAACUGACUGCAACCUGAGGUGCAGACAGCAAAGAACAGUCCUCCAGAAGGUGAACCAGAAGCUCAUCAGGUUGAUGAAUAACUGACAAUUACGCAAGGUGACAUGAUCAUAAACAAGAGGACUAUCUGCCAAGGGUUAUGAGUUACCUGAUUACGAGGCAUAGGGGAAAAAUCUCCGGCUUAACAAACACUUUACACAGUGCAUUUGAUCUGAUAGCGUAAAAGGACUCUCUGACCAUUUCAUUAGUCCUGAACUGCAUCUCAGUAAGGACUCCUGCAGCCUGUAUUCUGAUCUCCACACGGGAGAGGGGAGGCGCAGGAAACCAGGUACCGCUGCCCAGGAACACACCAGGAUAUGGACCAACCACGCUCUCAGACCAUGCUUCGACGAUUAAUUAAGGUUUCCAGAAACAGCCAGCCCUUGGUUAUCCAUGGAAAUUUUAGACACAAGAAAUUUUGACUCACUCCCUAUAUUGCUGAGUCACCUGGCCUAAACGUGAGUCCAACCUGGAACUCAGGGUACACACAAAUAUUUUAGUAGGAAUGGUAGUGGCAGCAGUAACACCAAUAAUCAUCGACAGUGAGAAGGGACCAUGCGCCAAGCACUAUCCUAAGCAUUUAACGUGCAUUAUUUCAUUUAAUUCUCCCAAGAAAUCUAGAAGGUAAGUAGUAUCACGACCCUACAGAUAAGGAAGUUAAGGUUCAAGCAAGUUAACUAACUUGCUGAAGGUCAAAUGCAAAUGGUUUGCUUCUGGAACCUGUAAACCUCAGCACCAAAAUGGAGAGUGUGCAUACAAAUGUUCUCUGAUACACACACACAUAUGCUUCAUACACAUUAUCUUUAAUCAUUCAUGUCAGAUGAAAAAGUCAAGUUAUUAUUAUUAUGACUUUCUAUUUAUGUUCCUGGCACAUGGGCAUUGCAGACAAAACACCUUUCCAUUUGUCUAGCAAAUUUCAAAGGGCGCUCAACUAUCUCAGGUGGCCCUAAACAACCUGAUGAAGGAAUCUGAGAAGUUUAAGUCCAUUUAUCGCCAAGAAAACAGGCUCCGAAGAGAGAGAGGCUUGCCCUAGAUCAUGAUCAGCAAGAAGCCGAAGCCGGAUUCAAGCCUCAGUCUCCUGUGCUGCCUCCCUCUUUCCACCAAACCAGGUUGCUUCCGUGAGAAAAUCCAGCCUGCUGGAAAUGUUUUCAAAUCUACAUGUAUGGGUCAGAGGGCUCCAACACCUGCGUAAAAGGCUGUACCAAGAUAAACAGAAUCGCACAAAGUGGGCAACUUGUCUAUGCAGCUGCCACUGCUUACACCCUCCCUCCCCAGGUGGGACCCAAGUCUCUGAAUUCACCCGGCAGGAAGGAGAUUCCAAAAAUCAUGUGCUACUUUAGAGAAACCUUUAAAGGGAAUGAGGGAAAGAAAGGGCUUUGGUUUGACGGACAUGGUCUAAAAUGGCUGACAGAAAGCUCAACUCCAAUAUCAUUCUGCUGGAAUUAUCCACACUGCAUUUGUUUGGCAAAACAAACACAGCCCUAAAUUACACUGAACUCCUGGGGUAGGGUCUCCAGGAUCUAUGUGGUCCACACAUCACAGUGAGGACGUGAUUUACAUUUCUGAUAAGUUACAUCCUUGUAAGUGCAUGUUGAGUACUUCUACGUGCAUAUAUAAGAGACUGCUAUUAAUCUUUUAAGACAACAGAAAGAAGCGUUGCACUUUGGGUCUCCCAACUGUGCAGCUGUUCCCCACAACAGUGCAUCCAUUUCAGUAGCACUUUCUUCCCCCACGCGGAAGCCCUAAGGACAAUUUACAGCUAGCGGGGCACCCUUGCUUGGUAAACUUACUCUGACCACUUAGGCUGCGGUGAAUCCGCAUGGCAGGCCCCAGGCAUCACCCAGCAGAGAGGCUCUUCACAAAUACCCGACGGCUUGUGAAGAUGCCCACCGCUCAGAGACGCCAGCAGUCUUCUGCAUCCCAGAGGCGGCCACGCAAGGAAGGGGGUCUCUUCUUGGGAGAGCGCUCCUCUGAUUGUGUACCACCUUCCAGCAAUGGGAAAGUAAUGAUCAAAUGCUUGCAAAUGAAGACUCUCAGAACCUAGCUGAAAUGAGUCUGGGGUUCUGUUUAGGUGUUUUAAAGUAAAGAAAGAUCCUUUGAUAUUAAAAAACCUCCCCUAGCACUCCACCUGCCCACCAGGAGCCCCACUCCUCUCUGGUAUUUGCCAGGACUAAGCAUAUAAAAGCACUAGGUAUUCAGGGCACAUGGGAACCACUGCAUCGGUUGUUGGUCCUCCCCAUUCUGUAGCAUGUGAGUGUGCUGGUAUACUCCAUCUGCCCCAGAGAGCCACUCCCUACCCUCCUCCACUCUCCUCCCAGUCCUAGGAGACUAACAUUUGUGGAUGCCUUGACAGGCUCCCUUGCCCACUGACUUCCAGUCUGGUUCCACCAAAGGGAGACACUGGUGAGAGAAGUGAGGGUGGGAGGGGACUGAGGGCAGGGUAUACAUUCCCCUGGCUCCCUCCAGCGAGCUACAUCCUGCUACCAAAGGCCAUGCCCCUUUGUGGGCCAUAACCUCAGCUACUCUCUCCUCUCCUUCACCCCCUCAGACCUGGGGUGAGGAAAGUUCCCUGGUGUAGCCAGACAUCGCCCCUACCCAGGGGUGGUACGCCAUCCUUGCAGGGUUCCUGGAUCCCUGCCCACUGCUAUAAACUGGCUCUUUAUUAAACGCUCCUCAGUUACUUCA